rnacentral:tRNA from 1 species
AAGAAAAUAUUAUAUAAAACUUCUAAUUUUAUUUAGGUAAUUUAUUUACCAUUUUCUUA